UCAAAAAUGUAAUAACAAUGCCAAUUUUUGAAGCACACUUUUACCCCUUGAUGAAAGGUUCCGAAAGCCAAAAGGUGUCUAAAAGUAGGCUUUAGUUGCAUGAAGUAUCGAAAUAUGGCAAAUCGGGCACACAGCUGUUGGCUUUUCAUUUGGCGAUUUGCAAGCGGCGUAUGCAACACUGAUACCUCGCAUUAACUUUGAUGGAGAUGGAGAUGGGCGAAUUCCGAUGGCGGGGACACAGACAGACACAAUAACAGGAUUCCUGGAGUGGUGUAGUACCUCCACCUAUGCAUCCCCAUACGAGACCAGGAACCCAGGCAGCCCCUCGGUAGACAAAGUGCCAAGUCAGACAGAUGCAGACGUAUCUCAUUUAGCAUACCGUACUUUGCAGCUCAUCUUUAUUUCUUGGCAAGUUGUGUGCAAUUCAUUAAAGCGAAAUCUGCUCGAAUGCGAAUAAUGCAAA
rnacentral:sRNA from 1 species